CCAUCUUAGGGCGAAUUCAGAGCCAGAAAGGGUUCAUGAAAGUAACCUUCAGAAAGUGUUCGCUAUCACAAGAGGAGGUUAGUGAGCUGGUCAGUGGCAUAAAAUCUCAAGGUGUCAAGAUAGUUGAUGAGCUGCGCAUCUUCUCGUCUUCUCUGGGGUCACUGUCAGCUGACCUCACAACCCUGGUGAAAUCAGAGCUUGGCUGCAGACUUACGUUGCUUGACCCAAAGGAUGGAUACGAGUACUAAGAAACCGCUGCAGAACUGGUUAAUAUCUGUCAAGCACUGGCACUAGACGAUCAGUAAGAUAUAGGCAGUUUGUGCCAGGUGUCUUCGUUACACCUACAGCAUAUGCUUUCUCUUUUAUUUACUCUUUCUUUUGUUUUUCUCAACUGUUUCUUUUGUAUUUUUUUACCUUUGCCAAGGAGGUUAUGUUUUUGAUGGUGUUAUGACAGAAUUUAAUGCUAUUUUUAACAGGUGUGUCUUAGAUGCCAUUAAAUUUGGGUGGUGAUUGGUAUCAUGACCCAUGUUCUAGGAAUGUUUUAAAUAAUUGCAUGUGUUACUAUUAUUAUUACCUUUAUUACUUCUGCUUGAGAGGUUAUGUUUACAAACCUCACUAGUAUACUUGAGAAAGAGGUGAUUUUAAUUAAUUGAAUCACAGACCCUGUUGCUGUGGCAGAGGUAUGUGCUCUCUGUGUGCUUUUAGUUUCUUUUGUUUCUUUUUCUAUUUUUUAUAAGUUUUACUUUUCUCCAGUCUAUAUUUAUAUUUUUAUGCUGUAUUGUUGUAUGGUAUAUUGUAGUUACAUUGCUUAGUGGUACUUAUGACAUAUUAAUAUGUUAUGGUUUUUGCACAAGUAGGGUCAACAUUAAACUAUUAUAUUUUACCAAUGGAAGUCAGAAAUCUGUCGAUUGCCACCUUGAUACAGCUUAACAAAUCAUAGCGUUAGACCUUGGAAAAUGGCAAAACAGUGUUUGCAGAAUAAAAGAUCAUAGCAUAGCAAAGAGGAGGGAAGAAGUCAUGGUGCUGUGAAUAACAUGCACCCAGGAGAGCCACCACUCAGGUAUGCCCAAUGAUAAAGAGAGUAUUAUUGUGCUUUCUGUUUUUUUGUGAAUGAAGUAUUUUAACUCUGUGUCUGUGUCAGUGUUGGCUGUCAUCUGUUCUAAACAAUUUGGGCUGCCACUUGUUCAGUACUCCUUAGAUUAGAGCUCGCAGAUGGCAAUAAAUCAGAUGCAUCUAGUUCCUCGGCAUCAACAGAGAGGUAUGAAAGUUGAGGGGUUGGAAAAUCACACUAAACUUCUUGUCCCAAAAUAUGUGAAGAGCUUCUAUGAUACAAAAUGACAUGAGAGUCUGUCUUGUACUUUGCUUGAAUCCUGUCUGAGUAGUUUAUUGCAGGUGACAGCUCAGCUUUUAUACAAAUCUAAGACCAAGUGGAGACCCAAGAGUACAGGAAAAGUGAAAACACAUAGAAUAAACUGAAGAGAAAAAUGUCUGGAAGGCUGCCAAAAUGGCCUAGCUUGUUUUGGAUAGGACAUAUAUGUCAAGGUUUUCUUUAUUCAUGUACUUCCUCUUUUAAAGUUCUGUAUGAUCCUAGAUGAGUGGGCAUUUCACCAGGUUAAAUGCUCAGAGAACCUAUUAACAGUAUAUUUACAAUUUACAUAGAGUAAACACAUAAAUAAUUCUGUAUCUGCAACAAGUAGGGCAUAUGUACUAGUAUGGUGUCUUCUAAAAUAACUUGUUUCCUUGCAAGAUGGUGAACCUGAGGACAGACCCUUGUUCAUCUUGUGAAGGUGCUUCCUUCUCUGGUUCAGGAUGAUCUUCAUAAAAGUGGAGACUGUAAACAUUUGGAGACAUCACCAUUAGCAUAAAUAUAUUUCAGAAGAAAUAGUUAUACCAGAACUUCAAAGAAUACAAAACAUACGGAAUAUGUUGCAUAUGCCAAGACAUUGGCAAUACUUACAAAAGGUGUGUAUGGGUAAGGAGCUUGGAGACAAGUGAAAUUCCUGCUUGAAUAGGUUGCUGACCAUGCUUUGGUUGCUGGAACGAAACCAGGAAACAUAUACAUGUACACACACGUACACAUACACUAAACUAUAUAAAGAGAAAAUGGACUGGCUUUCACCAGUUAUGGAAAUCUACACAAUACCCUGGACAGUCUAGUAAGUGCCUGGUUGCAUCUGAAGUUGGAUAUACAUAUGAGUGAGCUGAGUGAGAUACAAGUAGUGUAUGGAAUGAUACUUGCAAAAAUUAACUGAAGGUGAAAUACAGGAAUUAUGUGGUAAGGACAUUGAAGAAAAUAUUCCAAUUGAGGCCAAUUACUGUAGGUUUAUGUAUGGUCCACUGCAAUCUUUGGUAAAUUUUGUAGCUCCACAAGUGCUUAGCCACCAAGGAGACAGUGACUUGGCUCGAGGGAUUGUGCCUAAUUUCCCCAUUCCUUAAAUUUGUGGGAUUUUUUUUAUUGAGAUGUUAUUAAUAUUGACACUGUUAUUAUUGGUAUUUGCAUAAUGAUUGGUGUAAUCUUAUUAAAAUGCUAAUAGUAGUAAAAAAAGUAAAAUAAUAUACAGUGAUAUUCCAGAAAAUCAAUGAAAAUUUAAACAGAUGAGAUGGGUAGGAGUAGUAACUUACUCAUUGGUGACUGAACACUCAUGGAGCCAUAUCUGUGUAAACACAAUUAGUAAACUAAAUUACAGUGGAGAUGGUAUAUACUUAUGCCAUCUACAUCCAUUGAGUUAAACCAUACACUUGGGCAGUAAUAAAGUGUGUGACAUAAAGAGAAUAUCUGAUAUUAUGAAAAUUUAUGAACAUACAGUACAAAGAGAGAAUGUGAAAUAAGCCUGUAUGACUUAUUGCCAAGAUCUGACACUAAUGUAUUAGUAAGAUAAUUAUAUGGAUAAAUGGAUGUUUGUACUGUAAUGUUUUGAAAGGACGUGUACCACUGGGAAAAGGGUGCUGCAGUAACCCCAUGAACUGUUUCCUGGGGCAUAAGGGAUCCUUAUCAUCUUCAUCAUCUUUGUUGUUGCCAUGGUCGUUGUCAUUGACAUCGUCAUUGUUAUCGUCAUCGUCAUCAUCAUUGUCAUUGAUUUUCAGUUGCAUAGCAGUUUGUAAUCCUAGCUUUUUGACUAUUAUGUAUUAGUGAAUUGUGCUCUCUUAUAUUUUUUCCUCAGCUCCUCAGGGCAGUUCGGAAGGAGAUUAUUUCAUCAGGCCCUAGUAUUUCUUGUUUCUAGGGCCUUUAAUACAUUUUCUCUGUCUGUGUCAUCGUCAUUGUCAUUGUCAGUGUCAGUGCCAGUGUCAAUGUUAGUGUCAAUGUUAAUGUCAUUGUCAAUGUCAUUGUCAUCAUCAUGUUAUCAUCAAUCAUACCAUCAUUGUCAUUGAUUUUCAGUUACAUAGCAGUUUGUUAUCCUAGCUUUUGGACAAUUAUGUAUUAGUGAAUUGUGUUCAUUUAUAUUUUUUCCCCCUGUCAUAUCUAAGAUUUUAACACUUAAGUUUAUGGAAAAUAUACAAUUUUUGCACCUCAAGUAAUAGCAGUAAUCGCUUCACACUAUUGUGAAAAGGAGUUUAUUUGCUGGUAUCUGGCUAUAUAUUUCUAAUGUCCAGUAAAUGAAUACACAUGAAUGUGUAUAUUUUUACUCUAUAGAAAUAAAACAUUAGCAUUUGAUAGCACAACAAUAUACAGUGUGGUCGUUCCAAAAUACACCAUCUAUAAUUUGUUACUAUUUUCCAAAGAUGAUAUGGUGGAAGUACUUUAAAUGGGUUGCUAACAUUGCUCAAGGCUCGUUCAGUGAGAGAAAUUAAAGAAAUAAUUAUUUCACUAGCCUAGUUUUAUCUGAUUAUUGAAUAUAUCUAUCUAUAUACUGCUCUUUUACUUCUAAUUAUUUCCCUCUCAUUUAUUUUGUAAAUGGUGCCUUACAGCCAUGAUGUUUAUUUUGCCCGUAUUGUAUGAUUUAAUGUUUGUCAAGACUUUUGCAUGUUUCGAAUGGGGAGAUAUUUAACGGGUUGAUCAUUGUCUAGAACUUACACUUCAGCAGCUCAUGGAGUGGUGUUAGUGUAAAUAUCUCCUCCUAAAUAUCUCUCCUUCAUUGAUGUAGUUUCCUUCCGUUCUUUGAGGUGGAAUUGUUUUAUUUAGUGCCAUGAUAUUCAUGUAACUAUUUCAUGAACAUAUUCAAUAAAUGUUCAUUCAUUACAUUUGUUAGAAUUAUAUUUUCAUCAUUUACCUGAUUUUUAGAUACUCUUAAAAUUAAUUUGAAGUAUAGAAUGAGUCAUUGUACUUUUGCCAUGAAUUUUAUUGAAUCAUGUUUAUAAAUGUUGAAUUUUAUCUAUUUGUAGAUUUACAUGUUUUAUACCUUUUUAUAUGGAUAUAUUUUUGUUAACAGAGUUACAGAUUGUGUGUGUUUAUAUGAAUGAGCUGAAGUGAUAUAAAUCUUGUGAUUUGAUAUUAUGCACUCAUAAAUAGUUUGUAUUUUUAUUUAUAAUAAAUCAUAAAA